CCUCCUUCCUUAAACCUUGAAUUAGAGAUUAAUUUAAAUCAUUUAAACAUUAAGGCUGAACCUCCUUCACUCCCCUGAAGUCCUAAAGCUGGCAAAAAAAAGAGUUAAGGGUUAAAGGAGUGCCUGAAUUGUUCUAAACAAAAGUCCUGGUUUGCUUUACAACUGAAACCUGAAAACAAACACCCUGGGGACAAAUUUAACUUCAAUGGGACAGAGCAGAUUAUUGUGAGCACUGACAAGGAUGAAGUCUAGUGCACCGUUAGAAGAAAUCCUGUGGCCGUAUUCGACUUAUUGAAAAAUAAAUUUAGUUGAUACAA